AGUCACUGACAUUAGAUACCCGUGUAGUCCAGGGUGUAAACGCUGCAGACUUGGUGUUGGAAGCCCGUUUGGGGGCAUUCAGUGCCGGAGAGAAGUUGUUAAGUCUGCUACGUUGGGAGUACGUCCGCAAGGAUAGAAACUUAAAGGAAUUGGCGGGGGAGCACCGCAACGGGAGGAGCGUGCGGUUUAAUUGGAUUCAACACCGUAAACUCACCAGGGAAGACUGUUACAUGAAGGCCGAGAUGAAGACUCUGCUAGAUUUUCAG
rnacentral:rRNA from 1 species